rnacentral:rRNA from 1 species
AUUGAACGCUGGCGGCAGGCCUAACACAUGCAAGUCGAACGAGUGGCGGACGGGUGAGUAAUGUCUGGGAAACUGCCUGAUGGAGGGGGAUAACUACUGGAAACGGUAGCUAAUACCGCAUACCAUCAGAUGUGCCCAGAUGGGAUUAGCUUGUUGGUGGGGUAACGGCUCACGAAGGCGACGAUCCCUAGCGGGUCUGAGAGGAUGACCAGCCACACUGAAACUGAGACACGGUCCAGACUCCUAGGGGGGGGAGCAGUGGGAAAUAUUGCAAAAGGGGCGCAAGCCUGAUGCAGCCAGGCCGCGUGUAUGAAGAAGGCCUUCGGGUUGAAAAGUACUUUCAGCGGGGAGGCGUUACCCGCAGAAGAAGCACCGGCUAACUCCGUGCCAGCAGCCGCGUAAUAC